GUCCGCACCGUAAACGAUGGAUACUAGGUGUCCGGCCUUUCGGGGCUGGGUGCCCAAGGGAAACCGAUAAGUAUCCCACCUGGGGAGUACGUCCGCAAGGAUGAAACUCAAAGGAAUUGACGGGGGCCCGCACAAGCGGUGGAGCAUGUGGUUUAAUUCGAUGAUACGCGAGGAACCUUACCUGGGCUAGAAUGCCCCUGACAGCCUUGGAAACAGGGUUUUCCUUCGGGACAGGGAGCAAGGUGCUGCAUGGCUGUCGU
rnacentral:rRNA from 1 species